rnacentral:RNase_P_RNA from 1 species
AGUUAGUUAUGCAGUCGCUAUGUUUAUCAUAGAGGAAAGUCCGGGCUCCAGGGAUAAAAGCGCCAGGUAACUCCUGGAAGACGUGAGUUUUGGAAAGUGCUGCAGAAAAUAACCGCCUAUUAUUAGGUAAGGGUGAAAAGGUAGGGUAAGAGCCUACCGCUGCUGAGGCAACAAAGCAGGCAUAAGUAAACCCCGCUUGGAGCAAGGCAAAUUUGUGAUUAAUCCCAAGACAAUCACAUGGUUGCUGCUAAUGAGAUUAUUGGUGACAAUAAUCCGAGAUAAAUGGCUGCACGCGACAGAACCCGGCUUAUCGACUAACUCU